rnacentral:rRNA from 1 species
CUACGGGAGGCUCCAGUGAGGAAUAUUGCACAAUGGGGGGGACCCUGAUGCAGCAACGCCGCGUGGAGGAUGACGCAUUUCGGUGUGUAAACUCCUUUUAUAUGUCAAGAAAAUGACGGUAGCAUAUGAAUAAGCACCGGCUAACUCCGUGCCAGCAGCCGCGGUAAUACGGCGGGUGCAAGCGUUACUCGGAAUCACUGGGCGUAAAGGACGCGUAGGCGGGUUGGAAAGUCAGGUGUGAAAUCCUACAGCUUAACUGUAGAACUGCACUUGAAACUUCUAAUCUAGAGUAUGGGAGGGGGAGAUGGAAUUAGUGGUGUAGGGGUAAAAUCCGUAGAUAUCACUAGGAAUACCUAAAGCGAAGGCGAUCUCCUGGAACAUUACUGACGCUAAGGCGUGAAAGCGUGGGGAGCAAACAGGAUUAGAUACCCUAGUAGUC